GGUCAAGAGUGGUGUGGUCAUAUAUAAUUCUAUACAAUAUUCACAUCUUCUCGUCACUACCACUUCCAUAACCAUUUCCAUAAGCUUUUCCGCCGCCACCUCCUCCAUAUCCUCUGGUUUAUGGUCUAUUUCCACUUAUGGAUCUUCUUUCUUCACUGAUUCCGUAAACACCAUCACCAUAAAAUCACCUCUUCCAUGACCGCCUCCACCUCGAGCAACACCUCCAUACACAUCUUUACCUUGUGUUCUCACUUUCGUUAGUUCCAUUUCCGUAACCAUGACCUCCACCACCAUAAGAUGAU
rnacentral:lncRNA from 1 species